AUUGAACGCUGGCGGCAGGCCUAACACAUGCAAGUCGAGCGGCAGAAGGGAGAUUGCUCGUGGUUUCAGCGGCGGACGGGCGAGUAAUGCAUAGGUACCUGCGUAGUAGCGGGUGCGAACGGCAGGACGUAGGGGCAAAUACGGCAUUAGUCCAGACGGCGUAAGUGUGGGAUCUUCGGACCUUCGGACAUCGGGUGAGCCAAUGUCGGAUUAGCUAGUUAGUGGGGUAAAGGCCUACCAAGGCGACGAUCCGUAACUGGUCUGAGAGGAUGAUCAGUCACACUGGAACUGAGACACGGUCCAGACUCCUACGGGAGGCAGCAGUGGGGAAUAUUGGACAAUGGGCGCAAGCCUGAUCCAGCCAUGCCGCGUGUGUGAAGAAGGUCUUCGGAUUGUAAAGCACUUUAGUUUGGGAAGAAGGGCAGUAAGUUAAUACCUUGCUGUUUUGACGUUACCAACAGAAUAAGCACCGGCUAACUUCGUG
rnacentral:rRNA from 1 species